UACGUAGGGUGCAAGCGUUAAUCGGAAUUACUGGGCGUAAAGCGUGCGCAGGCGGUUUUGUAAGUCUGUCGUGAAAUCCCCGGGCUCAACCUGGGAAUUGCGAUGGAGACUGCAAGGCUAGAAUCUGGCAGAGGGGGGUAGAAUUCCACGUGUAGCAGUGAAAUGCGUAGAGAUGUGGAGAACACCGAUGGCGAAGGCAGCCCCCUGGGUCAAGAUUGACGCUCAUGCACGAAAGCGUGGGGAGCAAACAGG
rnacentral:rRNA from 1 species